GGGAUCGUAGUUAAUUAUAACAUUUGAAUUGCAUACAAAAAGUAUUGAAUUUUCAAUCUAUCUCA
rnacentral:tRNA from 1 species